AGGGUCGUGGUUACGGAGCUACAGGGCUCCUGGCUCCCGGUCCAGGACUACACGGCUACCUCCAACUUGCUUCUCUUUUCCCUCUACAUAGUCUAUUAAUGGUAUUUAAAGCAUGUGAUGAAGAUCACAAAGGAUAUCUCAGCAGAGAGGACUUUAAAGUUGCUGUUGUAAUGCUGUUUGGGUAUAAGCCCUCCAAGAUAGAAGUGGAUUCUGUGAUGUCUUCAAUAAAUCCAAAUACUUCUGGUAUAUUACUUGAGGAGUUUUUAAAUAUUGUAAGGAAGAAGAAGGAAGCUCAACGAUAUCGGAAUGAAGUAAGACACAUCUUCACAGCCUUUGACACGUACUAUCGUGGAUUUUUAACUUUGGAAGAUUUCAAAAAAGCAUUUAGGCAGGUGGCUCCCAAAUUACCGGAAAGGACUGUUCUCGAGGUAUUCAGGGAAGUAGAUCGAGACUCAGAUGGUCACGUCAGCUUUAGAGACUUUGAAUAUGCCAUGAACUAUGGCCAGAAGGAAGCCUAACUAUUGUGAACUACUUUUGGCAACUCUGGGGAGAUCAAUAGAUUAUAAUGUCAGGAGACUCUGCUCUACUCUGCUAAUGAUGUCAUGCUACAGACUUGUAAUUCGACUUCAAAAAAUUUUUUAAUUUUGUGGGUAUGUAGUAGGUGUAUAUGUGUGCACACACACACACAUACGGGUUACAGGAGAUACUUUGGCACAGGCAUGUAAUAAGUAAUGGACUAAACUUUUAAUCAUCAUUUUUGGAUGUUGAUGAUGGACUUGUAUCUCAGAAUCCUGGAGGUGGUUGCUGCCAGGGUCGUCUUCUGUGUGGCCAACAGCCCUGAGUCAGGUGUCUGUUGCAAGAGCUGGGGCUGGUGCUGGCACUGGUGGUCCCCUUCCUCUUCACUCUUCUCUCCCGCAGCCUCUCCACGCUGCAGGCCAGGGUGCCCCAUUCACUUACCUCAUUGUCCUCACCAUCCCACCUUGGGUCCCUGAAUCUCAUCAGCUCCUGAUAUCUGCAGAGGGGCUGCCUUUCCUGCCAGUGGCGCCAGUUUCCUUCAUUGGCUCAACAUUGGUUGAACAAAUAAUAGCACCUACACAUACUGAGUACUUACUAUGUUCCAAGCAGUGAGCCAGGCCUUGGGAAGCACAGGCUUAAGACUUCUCUAAAAUAGGCUCAUGCCUAUAAUCUCAGCGCUUCGGGAGGCCAAAGCAGGAGGAUCACUUGAGCCUAGGAAUUGGAGACCAGCCUGGGCAAUAUACCAAGACCCCAUCUCUACCAAAAAAAAAGAAGUUAUCUGGAUUUGGUGGUGUACACCUAUAGUCCCAGCUACUUGGGAGGCUGAGGUGGGAAGUUCACUUGAGCUGAGGGGUUUGAAGCUUCCGUGAGCCAUGAUUACACUAUUGCACUCCAGCCUGGGUGACAGAGCAAGACCCUGUCUCUUAAAAACAACUUUCAAUUAAAAAAUAAUAAAGACUUCUCUAAGAUAAUGUCCCUGAGUCCAAAUCAUCACUGUAAAGUGGCUCCAGGGUCCUGUGUGUGCAAGACAAAGAAACUGGAUUGGGCUAACACAAGCAAGCCAUCUCGGGCUGUAUACAGAGGAAGAACAGAGUGGUAAGAGUACUGGGGGCAAGAGACAUGUUUGCAGAACCCUUUAGGAUGGCUUAGGCUCGGGAGUCUCACUGCAGAGGAGCAAGCCUUGAGCUGCUCGGCUGCCCUCUACUGCACACGCCCUGGUUCCCAGCAGUCGUGUCCUGCAUUCGGAGCCUCAGCCAUGUGUAUUCACAUUCCCCGUGCCUUGCCUGUCCUGCUGGGCUCCAGUAACUGCUAUACUGGAGCAAUGAAUAACAGUGCUGGACAUUCAGCAUUUACUUAAGGCAAUUCCAAAAUACUGGUAUCAAUACUCUUAUUUAUAAGUGUUCAGAAUGCAUAACAUGAACAUUAGUCAAACAACUUUUAAUAUAAUUCACUUUUUAAGUAUUAACAUUUAAAAGUCAAGUAAAAUUGUAUUUGUAAUAUACAAAUAUUAAGCAGUCAUUAUCAAAUUAUUAGCAGAUAACCUCAAUAAAAAUAAAUGUUUGUGGGGUUUCAUUUUUUUUUUUUGAGACAGAGUCUCACUCUGUCACCCAGGCUAGAGUACAGUGGUGUGAUCUUAGCUCACUGCAACCUCCGCCUCCCGGGUUCAAGUGAUUCUCCUGCCUCAGCGUCCCAAGUAGCUGGGACCACAGGCACACGCUACCACGCCCGCCUAAUUUUUGUAUUUUUUGUAGAGAUGGGGUGUCACCAUGUUGGCCAGGCUGGUCUUGAACUCUUGACCUCAAGUGAUUCAUCCACCUUGGCCCCUCAAAGUGCUGGGAUUACAGGCAUGAGCCACCACAUCUGGCCAAUAAAAAUAAAGUUUUACACUGUCAAAUAAGACGAGCCUAAGAAGAUGUGACAACUAAAUAUCAUUUGGUAUCCUGGAUGAGAUCAUGGAAUAAAAAAUAGACAUUAACCGGGCGCAGUGGCUCAAGCCUGUAAUCCCAGCACUUUGGGAGGCCGAGGCGGGUGAAUCACGAGGUCAAGAGAUCGAGACCAUCCUGGUCAACAUGGUGAAACCCCGUCUCUACUAAAAAUACAAAAA